rnacentral:lncRNA from 1 species
AACAAUUAUGUAAUAAAAAAAAGAAUUAAUUUCAUACAUAUUUCUGUUAAUAUAGUGAAUAAUAAAUAUAUCUUAACAAAGUUCAACUUUCAUAUGUUAUUUUUACAAACGUCCUAUUAUUUUCAAAUAUAUAUUCCUCCGAUUUGUUACUGUUACAAAACCGUUAGAGUACUAUUAAUAUUUUUAAUUUUGUCAUCACAAAUAUAUUUCUCCAAAAGCUAUAAUAGUAUAAUAUAAAAAAAUAAAAAUAACAAAAACUAAUCAGGAUUAAGUAUUUAAUCUAUGGUUAACUAAAUUUUUCUAACGGAUUCUAACGAUAUAGACAUAUUUAAAAAUAUCAGAACUUUUACAGAAACAAUAGAGUACGGCUGCUAUGCUAUUGAUAGCACUAAAGACUUGAUGCUAUCAAGUUUACCGUUAGAUUAACCCUUUGAUUAUUUUUACCCGCUACCCACUCAACCCUAGGGGGCCCAUAUCAUUCUAACCGCACAUUUUUUAAUUUAAAGACUAAAAAACUAAUAGCACGAAUAACUUGGUGCUAUUAAUAGUAUUACAGCCUAGUUCGAAACAAUAUAAAAAUUAAACUUUAUAGAAAUAUAUUUAUUAUUUACUAUAUUUAUAAAAAUUUGUAUGGAAUUAAUUCUAAAAAAUAAAAAUAAACCAAUGUGAUCAUAUAUAGUCCUCGUUUAAAACACU